GGCAACUCUCGGACUGUUCGAGAAAUUGCGACGCUCUCCCUGUCACACUCCUCCAUGCUGGUUUUCCUUUGCGAGACUAGACAGAGCAACAAAAUGAGAAGAAUUCGUGGACGCCUCGGAUUGAAAGGUUUUGACGGGGUGGACAGUAAUGGUUUGAGUGGUGGCCUAGCUCUUUUCUGGCAUGAGUCUUUUGUGGUUGAAAUCCUGGACAAGGAGGAACGGUAUAUCCAUGCUCUGGUGAAGGUACAUGCGGAUGCAGAACAGUGGAGAGUCACCUUUUUUUAUGGUGAACCACGAGUCGAGAAUCGCCACCUCAUGUGGGCCAAAUUACAGGGUCUAACGAGUGUCUGUGAUAGGCCUUGGCUUGUUAUUGGUGAUUUUAAUGAAGCUCUUUGGGAUUUCGAACACCUGUCGGCUACCCCUAGACCGGAACAACAAAUGAUAGCCUUCCGAGAUACUCUGGAAAUUUGCAGUCUGAUUGAUCUUGGGUUCUCAGGGAUUCCAUUUACUUAUGAUAACAUGCAUGUCGGGGCGAGUAAUGCGAAGGUUCGUCUUGGUAGAGCUACUGCA
rnacentral:rRNA from 1 species